rnacentral:rRNA from 1 species
UGCAGUCGAACGCAGUAGCAAUACUGAGUGGCAAACGGGUGAGUAUAAUGUGGGAAUCUGCCUUUUGGUUUGGAAUAACACGGGGAAACUUGUGCUAAUACCGGAUAAGCCCUUACGGGGAAAGUUUUAACGCCGAAAGAUGAGCCUGCACUUGAUUAGCUAGUUGGUAAGGUAAAAGCUUACCAAGGCAACGAUCAAUAGCUGUUCUUAGAGGAAGACCAGCCACAUUGGGACUGAGACACGGCCCAGACUCCUACGGGAGGCAGCAGUGGGGUAUCUUGCACAAUGGGGGAAACCCUGAUGCAGCGAUGCCGCGUGAGUGAAGAAGGCCUUUGGGUUGUAAAACUCUUUCGUCGGGGAAGAAAAUGACUGUACCCGAAUAAGAAGGUCCGGCUAACUUCGUGCCAGCAGCCGCGGUAAUACGAAGGGACCUAGCGUAGUUCGGAAUUACUGGGCUUAAAGAGCUCGUAGGUGGUUAAAAAAGUUGAUGGUGAAAUCCCAAGGCUCAACCUUGGAACUGCCAUCAAAACUUUUUAGCUAGAGUGUGAUAGAGGUAAGUGGAAUUUCUAGUGUAGAGGUGAAAUUCGUAGAUAUUAGAAAGAACACCAAAUGCGAAGGCAACUUACUGGGUCACUACUGACACUGAGGAGCGAAAGCAUGGGUAGCGAAGAGGAUUAGAUACCCUCGUAGUCCAUGCCGUAAACGAUGUGUGCUAGACGUUGGAAAUAUAUUUUUCAGUGUCGCAGCGAAAGCAUUAAGCACACCGCCUGGGGAGUACGACCGCAAGGUUAAAACUCAAAUGAAUUGACGGGGACCCGCA